rnacentral:tRNA from 2 species
GCGGGCGUGGCGAAAUGGUAGACGCAAGGGACUUAAAAUCCCUCGGGCCUCGUCCCGUGCGGGUUCGAGUCCCGCCGCCCGCACCA